UUCUAAGCUCGAAUGGAUCAAUACAAACAUCCACCAAACCCACCCACAAACACAUUUCAAACUUCUGCGCUUUGACCAUGGUUGGAACACGGCAAGCAUGAAAGUUAUGUUACGUGUGAUGCUUCUCUUAUCUCAUGGCACCACAUAAUUCUCAGCUCGAUCUCAUGGCUAAUCGCUCUCAAAGAAAGAGUGGUAGACCAGCCGCCGACCAACCGGACUACCAAUGUGGGUCCGGGCACUGACAGUGAUUUGAUUGGAAGCAAUAGGCGGGUGCCACCCUUGGGGAACAAAUGGCCAUCAACUUUCCUUUUAUCAGGC
rnacentral:lncRNA from 1 species